UAAAGUAUUCUAUAUAAAUUGAGUAGCAAUUUAAUGUAAACCAAUGUGAAGCAAUUUUUUUUUUUUGCUAUUCAUGUCAGUGGCCGAAUAUUUCAGUUGUUGUCAUCACUUCCCACCGUUUAGUCGUGUCGUGUCUGUAGAGCGGUUAUAUAAAUGUAUAUAGAACAAUUAAAAUGAAUACGAAUUUGGAAUUAUGAUUGUCAAAGGAAAUACUAAGUUUAACAUUUCAACAAAUCAUUAACAAAUUAGUUUUUUUUAAGAUAAAAGUUUAAAUUUUUUCUAAAAAUAAGUAAAACACAUUUUAUUUUUCGGCUGGUGCGACAUGACGUAUGAUUAAUUUAUAAAAAAAAUAAGUAAAUUUUUGAAAGCACAUUAAAUGUUUUAUACUUCCUGAAAUAUUCAACAUUUUCUUUAGUGGUGUUAGUGGUGCUCUUAAAAGUGACGUUUGAAUGAAAAAUAUUUGAAUGCAGUUUUAGUAUUAUUUUUGUCAUCAUCCGAUGACAACAAAGAAAGAAAGGAAGAAAAAGAAAAUUGUUUAAGAGUACAGAACUAGCUGCUUAACUAAUAGCAUAUCCUUUGAAACACAAAGAAAAGCUCAAAUAAAAAUUAAAAUUCAUAAAAAACAAACAAAAAAUAGUUUAAAUAAUGAUAUUUUUAUAAGAAAUACCACGUCGUGUGUAUAAUAAAACUAUAGUACAAAUAAUGUAAUAUUUUUGCAAAAAAAAAAAAAAAAAAAA